rnacentral:sRNA from 1 species
GGUCCGUAAUACAAGGGCGGGAUCAUAUUGGCGAGGUCGAGGCCCGUCCCGCAUCCCCCACGUUGAAUAAGGAUGGGGUAAGGUAACCCUUCUAUGGUGCGAUAAUGGGACUGGGACUGGGACUGGGACAACCUCGUGGUGCAAAACUCUCCAUGAUUGCCGCAACAGGAAGUUUUGAGCUGUCGAGAGCUGGGUUUCUUCGAAGGAAAACGACAACUUGGCACGGCGCUAGUUAGUAUGUAGUGUGUAGAGUGUUGAAAAUAUUCUUGAGUUAGUAUAGUAUGAUGAUAUUGCUGAGCAUUUUUAUAACUUAUCUCUGAAAUAUUAUUCAAAACUCUUUCAGUGUCUUUCUGCAAAGUUAUAUC